CGAUGUGAGGGCGAUCUGUCUCCCCACUGAUCACCAGGGUUGAUUGGGUGAUUUGGCUGGCUAGACCGGUGUCCCCUUCCUCCAUCACCACUCCAUGUGCCACCCUCCAGGAGCUGCGAGCUCGAUUGAAAGGUCAACAUUCCCUGAGUAGAGCAGGACUGGGUCUUUGGUCAAGGGUAUAGGAGUGGCUCCACUCCCCUGCUAGAACCUCCAAACAAGCUCUCAAGGUUCUAAGGAUUUUUACAGAAAACAAAUUAAGGAUUCCACUGUGGGUUUUUUAACUUUUAAAAUGAGUUAAGC
ensembl:misc_RNA 7SK 7SK RNA